AGGCCUGUAGCUCAGGUGGUUAGAGCGCACCCCUGAUAAGGGUGAGGUCGGUGGUUCAAGUCCACUCAGGCCUACCA
rnacentral:tRNA from 2 species